CAGGUCUGGAGAAGGGAAGAUUGUGGAGCGUUUCUCUCGGGAUCUCAUGUGCGAGAACUGCGCAGCCGGGACGGGGACUUCGCGUGGCCUGGAGCUUUGCUGAGAGCUGCGUUCUUGUGGCGGGGUCGGAAGUGCUGAAUCUUCACCGUCCUCUACAUUGUCCCCAAAACUACCAAAAAUGAACAUAUCUAAGACAUCAGUGUCAUUCAGGGACGUGACUGUGGAGUUUACCCUGGAGGAGUGGCAGUGUAUGAGCUCUGCUCAGAAGACCCUGUACAGAGAUGUGAUGCUGGAGAACUACAGCCUCCUUGUCUCAUCAGGCCUCCCUAUUCCCUGAGACACAAUAAUAUUGAAAUUAGGUCAAUUAAUAACCCUACAGUGGCCUGUAAGUGUUCAAGUGAAAGGAGGAGUUGCAUGUCUCUUACUUAAAAUUAAAAGCUAGAAAUUAUUGGUGAAGAAGGCAGCUUGAAAGCCGAGAUCAGCUGAAAGCUAGGCCCCUUGCACCAAACUGUCAGCUAAGUUGUGAAUGCAAUGGAAAAGUUCUUGAAGGAAAAUAAAAGUGCUAACUCCAGUGAACACAUGAAUGAUAAGAAAGUGAAACAGCUCAAUUGCUGAUAUGGAGAACAUUUUAGUGUCCUGGAUAAAAGGUCAAACCAGCCACAACAUUCCCUUAAGCCAAAUACUAAUCCAGGGCACAGCCCUAACUCUUCAAUUCUGUGAAGGCUGAGGAAGGCGAGGAAGCUGCAGAAGAAGAGGUUGAAUCUAGUAUAGUUUGGUUCAUGGGGGUUAAGGAAGGAAGCUGUCUCUCUUAAGAUGAAUGUUCAAGGGGUAUCACCAAGUGCUGAUGGAAAAGAUGCAGCAAGUUAUCCAGAAGUUCUAGUUAAGAUGAUUAAUGAAAGUGGCUACACUACACAACAGAGUUUCAAUGUAGAUGAAAUACUUUUCCAUUGGAAGAAGAUGCCAUCUAGGACUUUCAAAGGUAGAGAGAAGAAGUCAAUGCCUAGCUUCAAAGCCCAGACUGACUCUCUUGUUAGGGGUUAGUACAGCUGGUGACUUUAAGUUGAAGCCAAUGCUCAUUUACCAUUCUGGAAAUUCUAGGGCCUUUAGAAAUUAUGCUGAAUCUCUUUUGCCUGUGCUCUGUAAGUGGAACAGCAAAGCCUGGAUGACAGCACAUCUGUUGACAAAAUACUUUACUGAGUAUCUAACCUGUUGUUAGACCUGCUGCUCAGAAAAAAGAUUCCUUUCAAAACAUGCUCAUUGAUUAUGCACCUGGUCACUCAAGAGCUCUGAUGGAGAUGUACAAUGUGAUUAGUAUACUUAUGCUUGCUAACACAACAUCCAUUCUGCAGCCCAUGUAUUGAGUUGUUUUGACUUUCAAGUCUUAUUAUUUAAAAAAUAUAUUUUGUAAACAUAGCUGCCAUAGAUAGUGAUUCCUCUAUAGAUCUGGGCAAAGUCAAUUGAGAACAUUCUGGAAAGGACUGACCAUUCUAGAUGCCAUUAAGAACAUUUUUGAUACAUGGGAAAAGGUCACAAUAUCCACCGGAACAGGAGUUUGGAAGAAGUUGAUUCCAACCCUUAUGGAUGACUUUGACAGUUUCAAAUUUUCAGUGGAGGAAGUAACUGCAGAUGUGGUGGCAGAAACAAUUAGAAUUAGAAGUAAAAUCUGAAGAUAUGUUUGAAUUGCUUCAAUCGCAUGAUAAAAAUUUAAUGGAUGAAGAGUUGCUUCUUGAAGAAGCAAAGAAAGUGGUUUCUUGUGAUGAAAUCUACUCCUGGUGAAACCACUGUCUGUAAAUUUAAGGGUUUAUUUCUGGCCUCUCAAUUCUCCAUUGUUCUCUGUUUUUAUUCUUAAUGUGUCUAUUCUUACACCAGUACUACCUUAAUAGUAUAGUAUGGUAUUGUGAUUUAUAAUAAGAAAGAUAUAUUUGGUCUUAAUCCCUGUUCCUGGCACAGAGUUCUAAAACCCUGGCAAUUUCUUAAGUGAUACGAGAGAUCGAGGUGUCUUACUCAUAGCAAGCCCCUUUCAACCAUGCCUGAGUUCAUGUUACUGAGGUGACUUUUGGAAACCCCCUGAGGAUAUAGGCUUGUUGCCAAGAAUGCCAAUCAAGUGACUAGAGGGUUGGGACUUUCAGGCCCGUCCCCUGACCUGCAGGGAGGGAGGGGGCAGGGCUGGAGAUUGACUUAAUUACUAAUAAUAAUUAUUCCUAUAUAAUCAAGUCUCCAUAAAAAUGUCUGAACUGUGGGGUUCAGAGAGCUUUGUUGUUGGUGAACACUUGUAGGUGGUGGGAGGCUGAUGCUCCUGGACAGGGCAUGGAAGCUUUGCCCUAUGCAGCUUUUUUGUCUGGCUGUUUCUGAGUUGUAUGCUUUGUAAUAAACCUGGCAAUCUAUUAAUAGUAAGCAAACUGUUGAGCUCUGUGAGCCAUUCUAGCAAAUUAAACCUGAGGACCAGGAUGUGGGAACCUCCCAUUUAUAGCUAGUUGGUCAGUAGCACAGGUAGUAACCUGGGCUUGUAAUUGGCAUCUGAAGUGUGAGGAGAGGCAGUCUUGUGGACUCAACCCCUAGCCUGUGAGAUCUGAUGCAGACUCCAAGUGGAUAUGUCAGAACUGAAUUGAAUGUAGAACACCUUGCUGGUGUUGCAGAGUUGCUUGGUAGUGGGAAAAACCUCUGCACACUCAGUGACCAGCAGUGAAGUAGUAUUGAGAAUACAUAAGUAUUCUGUGAGUAGAGACAAUAAUAUAAAUGAGAAACAGGAGUGUUUUCUGUAAACAGAGUAAUUGAAAAGUAUGAGCUCUCCAGUUUUUUUCUUUGUCAAUUUCUGUAAAAGAAAGCUGUGAUUUUGUUAGUGGUUCCAUUGAAUCUGUAGCUCAAUUUCUGGAGUAUUGCCAUCUUGACAACAUUAACUCUUCUGAUCCAUGAACAUUGAGAUUAUCUGUCUUUCUAUUUAUUUAGGACUUUUAAAAUUUAUUAUAAUGAUAUUCUGUAGAUUUAAGUGGUCAAAUUUUAUACUUUUGUUAAAGUUAUUUUAAGUAUUGUAUUCUUUUUGAUGCUCUUUUAAAUGAAAUUGUUUUUAUUUUUCAUUUUAGGCUUGUUCAUUGCUAGUGCACGGAAAUACAACUGGGUUUUGCAUAUUUCCUUGUAUUCUGCAACCUUGUUGAACCUGGUUAUUAGCUUUCGGAGCUUUAUGUAUUUUUGGAAUCCUCAGGGUUUUCUAUACUGAUUUGGUUUACCUUGCCCUUCCUUUCUUUGCUGUUUUAUGAUAAAAUUUAAGCUCAUGAAUUGAGACUUGGUUUUACUUUUUUAAUGUAAGCAUAAGACGCUAUAUUUUUCUUUGAAAACUGCUUUAGCUGCAUCACACAAGUUUUGAUGUUAUGUUUUUAUUUUCAUUUAAUCCAAGAUAUUUCUUUAAAUGCCUGGUAAUUUCCUGUUUGAUCCAUUGGUUUUGUAGAAUUUGUUUACUUUCUAAAUAUUUGUUUCAUAAUUUCUUACUGUUACAAUUUUUAUAUCCUUUUUUGUGUGUUACUCUGGAUAUUAUUUCAUGCAUGAUUCAGUCUUAUUAAAUGUAUUGAAAUUUGUCUUAGGGCCUAACAUAUGAUCCUGGGGAAUGUUCCAUAUGUGACUGAAAAUGGUAUUUUUUCUAGAUAGGGAUUAGUUCCAGUGGGCUGAUUGUAUUGCUUGAAGCUUCUGUAUCCUUUUAAUAUCUUAUCUACUUGUUCUAUUAAAUAUUGAGAAAGGAAUGUGAGUAUCCAAGUCUAACUUAUUUAUAUCUUCUUUCCUUUUUAAUAGGAUUUGCUUCGUGUAUUUUGAAACUCUGUUUUUAAGUAGUAAACCACUUAGGCUUAUUACAUCCUCUUGGUGGAUUUUCUCUUUUAGCGUUUUGAAGUUUUUAUUGAUAUCCCUGGUAAUAUUUCUUUCUCUGAAUUUUGUUUGGUACUGUAUAGUCAGUCAGACUUUCAUUUGCUUCUUGUGUGCUUCGUAUGAUAUAUACUUUUCU